rnacentral:rRNA from 1 species
AGUUCAAGAGUACGUGAAACCGUUUAGGGGUAAACCUGAGAAACCCGAAAGGUCGAAGGGAGAAAUUCAUUCGCGUCUCGACGUAGGCGUGGGACGGGGCCCUCGAGCGACGGAACGCUCGUCUCUCGGGACGAGAUUUCGCGCCCUCCGUCCUACGAACCGACGGCGAACGCGUGCACUUUUCUCCUGGUAGGACGUCGCGAUCCGUCGGGCGUCGGUCUACGACUAGCGGUGGAGCCCGUACGUCGCGUCUUCGCGGACGCGCGGACGGACCCGCUCGUUCCGGCCGACUCGCUCGACGGUAUACCAUAAGGUCGGAGGCCGCUCGAUCGCAAUUUAUUUUGCGUGCAAACAAAAAAAGGAGCGUCCGACUCGUCGCAAGCGCGCCACGUGCGUCGGCACGCGGACCUCGUGCCGCGUCCGACCUCUGGCGACUGUUGGCGACGAUGCUCUCGGACAGACCUCUCUCGAACGACCGAUCUGCGACGCUAUAGCUUUGGGUACUUUCAGGACCCGUCUUGAAACACGGACCAAGGAGUCUAGCAUGUACGCGAGUCAUUGGGAUCGAUACUAAACCUAAAGGCGUAAUGAAAGUGAAGGUCUUCCUCGCGAAGACCGAGGGAAGAUGGACGAGGACGGCGGCUUCGCACCGUCGUCGUCGUCUCGCAUUCCCGGGGCGUCUCACCGUUCACAUCGCGUGACGAGGCGCACCAAGAGCGUACACGCUGGGACCCGAAAGAUGGUGAACUAUGCCUGGUCAGGACGAAGUCAGGGGAAACCCUGAUGGAGGUCCGUAGCGAUUCU